rnacentral:rRNA from 1 species
CCCUGUGAGACCACCAGUGGCGAAGGCGUCUUACCAGAACGGGUCCGACGGUGAGGGACGAAAGCUGGGGGCACGAACCGGAUUAGAUACCCGGGUAGCCCCAGCUGUAAACGAUGCUCGUUAGGUGUCAGGAACGGUGCGACUGUUUCUGGUGCCGAAGGGAAGCCGUGAAACGAGCCACCUGGGAAGUACGGCCGCAAGGCUGAAACUUAAAGGAAUUGGCGGGGGAGCACUACAACGGGUGGAGCCUGCGGUUUAAUUGGACUCAACGCCGGAAAACUCACCGGGGGCGACAGCAAUAUGUAGGUCAGGUUAAAGGUCUUACCUGAAUCGCUGAGAGGAGGUGCAUGGCCGUCGUCAGUUCGUACUGUGAAGCAUCCUGUUAAGUCAGGCAACGAGCAAGACCCGUACCCACUGUUACCAGCAUAUCCUUUAUGGAUGAUGGGGACUCUGUGGGGACCGCUGCUGCUAAAGCAGAGGAAGGUGCGGGCUACGGUAGGUCAGUAUGCCCCGAAUCUCCCGGGCUACACGCGGGCUACAAUGGUUGGGACAAUG